AUCAUUCUAACAAAAUAACAAAGAGAUUCUCAUAAACAUUUCAUUACAAACAUGAAGAACUAAAUGAAAGGAAUACAAAAGUUGAGAUAAAACCCUUUUAAAUACGAAUUGUAAUUCCUUCAAUGUAUUCUUCAAGCUUUCCUUAAUGAUCUCCUUGCUAUAUCCACUUGAUUCCCAAAAUAAAACUAAAAUUAACAAAAGAAAAUAAAACUAAAAGAAAAAAAGUCAAGAAAAAGAGAGAGAGAGAGAGAGAGAGAGAGAGACCGAGAGAGAUAGA
rnacentral:lncRNA from 1 species